UUCUUAAGAUUAUCGGAUGGUGCAGUAUUCUAGUCAUCCUACCGGUUCUGAAGGUGAGCCUAAAAAUUCACUAAAGGGCACAUCGAUGAAGUUCCUUGUUUCGGCUUGAGGCGCCCAGCCUUGGGUUGGAGCUGGGAGUAAAGGUUUAAGGGCGAUCCACAAAGGCAUGUGGGCGUGGACCCUUUGCCGCGGAGGCUCCGCAGUCACUAUAUGUGAGAAAAAGCGGAGUAUAGACCUGCAAUGUGAUGUGGGGCAUCACUAGCAGCGUAGCCUGCCUUGCGUGAAGUUUGAGGGGAUUAUGGUUAUAAGAAUACGGAACGGUUGGCCAUCGUCCCGUUUUCUUCCGUCCAUAUGAAAUCAGCUUUGCAAAAGAGGCUAAGAACUUGGUUAAAGGUUGUUGAGGAAAUCUCCUAGACUGUUCCAAAGGAUAUGAUAAGGGGAUUACAGUGCGGACUGAGUGGCAAUCCAGUCUGACAGCUGGCGACACUGUCAAAGCGGGCUUAAAGGGAAACCGCCGCCAUGGCGACAUGCGGUACCUGCUUGGGAAAACCUACUGGACCUAAGCCGUAAACUUUACUCUUAUGAUAACCAUCCAAACUAAUUCCUAU
rnacentral:sRNA from 1 species